rnacentral:rRNA from 1 species
GACGAACGCUGGCGGCGUGCUUAACACAUGCCAGUCGAACGGAAAGGCCCUGCUUGCAGGGUACUCGAGUGGCGAACGGGUGAGUAACACGUGGGUGAUCUGCCCUGCACUUCGGGAUAAGCCUGGGAAACUGGGUCUAAUACCGGAUAGGAGCCAUUUUUAGUGUGAUGGUUGGAAAGUUUUUUCGGUGUAGGAUGAGCUCGCGGCCUAUCAGCUUGUUGGUGGGGUAAUGGCCUACCAAGGCGGCGACGGGUAGCCGGCCUGAGAGGGUGGACGGCCACAUUGGGACUGAGAUACGGCCAAGACGCCGACGGGAGGCAGCAGUGGGGAAUAUUGCACAAUGGGCGCAAGCCUGAUGCAGCGACGCCGCGUGGGGGAUGACGGCCUUCGGGUUGUAAACUCCUUUCGCUAGGGACGAAGCUUUUUGUGACGGUACCUAGAUAAGAAGCACCGGCUAACUACGUG